rnacentral:lncRNA from 1 species
UUAUGAUUGAUUAUUAUAUUUUUUUUCAAUGCCAGUGCUGCUCAGCCCUCAGCACAACUUCAGUUUUCAUGAAAUAAACAGUGACUAUAUAAAAUUUCAUUUUUCUGAAACUGAAAUCUGAGAUCAGGUCAAAGUCUCUUCUUUCCCAUGGACUUGAUUGAGCCUGUGUUCCAUUAGGAGAGUUAAGUCCUGCAAGUGAAGGGAACCGUGCUUGGGUCCAGCCUACAAGUCACGGUAGCAUCACCUCACAGUUGGCGUGUGUUUGUCUGUCUCAACCAACAGAAAUUAAAAACAUUAGGAGAGUGGCAGGAGACUGCCAUAAAGGUCAGGUGGUUCAAGAGCGUAUCCAGGCAUGGUAUA